GACGAACCGUGCGAACGUUGUUCGGAAUCACUGGGCUUAAAGGGCGCGUAGGCGGCUUGCCAAGUCAGGGGUGAAAUCCUGCAGCUCAACUGUAGAAGUGCCUUUGAUACUGGCGAGCUCGAGGGAGGUAGGGGUGCGCGGAACUUCUGGUGGAGCGGUGAAAUGCGUUGAUAUCAGAAGGAACGCCGGUGGCGAAAGCGGCGCACUGGAUCUCUACUGACGCUGAGGCGCGAAAGCUAGGGGAGCAAACGGG
rnacentral:rRNA from 1 species